GUGGGGAAUCUUAGACAAUGGGCGCAAGCCUGAUCUAGCCAUGCCGCGUAAGCGAUGAAGGCCUUAGGGUUGUAAAGCUCUUUCAGCUGGGAAGAUAAUGACGGUACCAGCAGAAGAAGCCCCGGCUAACUCCGUGCCAGCAGCCGCGGUAAUACGGAGGGGGCUAGCGUUGUUCGGAAUUACUGGGCGUAAAGCGCACGUAGGCGGAUCAGAAAGUCAGAGGUGAAAUCCCAGGGCUCAACCUUGGAACUGCCUUUGAAACUCCUGAUCUUGAGGUCGAGAGAGGUGAGUGGAAUUCCGAGUGUAGAGGUGAAAUUCGUAGAUAUUCGGAGGAACACCAGUGGCGAAGGCGGCUCACUGGCUCGAUACUGACGCUGAGGUGCGAAAGCGUGGGGAGCAAACAGGAUUAGAAACCCCUGUAGUCC
rnacentral:rRNA from 1 species